UACGGGAGGCAGCAGUGGGGAAUAUUGCACAAUGGGCGCAAGCCUGAUGCAGCCAUGCCGCGUGUAUGAAAAAGGCCUUUCGGGUUGUAAAGUACUUUCAGUCGUGAGGAAGGUGUUAAGGUUAAUAACCUUAGCAAUUGACGUUAGCGACAGAAGAAGCACCGGCUAACUCCGUGCCAGCAGCCGCGGUAAUACGGGGGUGCGAGCGUUAAUCGGAAUUACUGGGCGUAAAGGGCACGCAGGCGGUUAAUUAAGUUGGAUGUGAAAUCCCCCGGGCUUAACCUGGGAAUGGCAUUCAAGACUGGUUAGCUAGAGUCUUGUAGAGGGGGUAGAAUUCCAUGUGUAGCGGUGAAAUGCGUAGAGAUGUGGAGGAAUACCGGUGGCGAAAGGCGGCCCCUGGACAAAGACUGACGCUCAUGUGCGAAAGCGUGGGGAGCAAACAGGGAUUAGAUACC
rnacentral:rRNA from 1 species